rnacentral:snRNA from 1 species
AUCGCUUCUCGGCCUUUUGGCUAAGAUCAAUUGUAGUAUCUGGUCUUAUCGAACGGAAACGAAAUUGAUCAGUCAAGAGGUGGCAGAUUUUGCGUGAUUUUAAUUGUGUUUUAUUCUUUGUUUUUAGGCCCAGCCCACCCAGACUGCAGGAGGCGGAGUUUCCCCCGGAGCACCUCACCGAUUGGAGGAACAACA